UCCGCGGAGAUCUCAAGGGACCCCUGUGACACGAGUCCAGCUAGAAUGUCAUGCAGGCGCCCGAGCUCCACCGAGGUUACCAGCCCCGCCUGCGCCUGGGAGCUCCCGAACCCUGGGCCACGCCAAGUACAUCGGGACGUCCCCAAAGCUCCGGUCCUCCACCUCAGCGGUAAACUCGGGAAAGGGGAGCCCAUCUGCUGGAGGGGGCCUUGUGAACUCAGUUCCGGGAGCCAGGGAGGUCCAAGGCUCCCAGGUGCACCCCAACAGCCCUGCCUCCGAGAGCCCCCAAGGGUGAAGAAGAGGAGGCCAGAAGCAGCUAAGAAAUUGGCCCAACGGCAGACGGUCCUGAGAGGAAGAGUCAGGCUGAACCACAGGCACUGACCUCCAGACGCCAGCAGGCAUGAACUGGCACCCAGAAUCCACAGGAAAAGCAUCAGAGUUCGAGCUCAGCCACUAACUUGCACUGUGACUUCAGGAGUCCCUCCUUCCCUCCCAGGGCUGCUAUCAUGAGGAAAAUCAGCCAACAUUUGCAAAGUGGCCAACAGGGUGUCUAAUCCACUGUAAGUGCUUGAGAGAGAGCCUGGAUUUUCUCAUGUAAUAAAAUAUUUCUUGAGCAUC